rnacentral:rRNA from 1 species
CGCCUGGGGAGUACGGCCGCAAGGUUAAAACUCAAAUGAAUUGACGGGGGCCCGCACAAGCGGUGGAGCAUGUGGUUUAAUUCGAUGCAACGCGAAGAACCUUACCUGGUCUUGACAUCCACAGAAGAAUCCAGAGAUGGAUUUGUGCCUUCGGGAACUGUGAGACAGGUGCUGCAUGGCUGUCGUCAGCUCGUGUUGUGAAAUGUUGGGUUAAGUCCCGCAACGAGCGCAACCCUUAUCCUUUGUUGCCAGCGAUUAGGUCGGGAACUCAAAGGAGACUGCCAGUGAUAAACUGGAGGAAGGUGGGGAUGACGUCAAGUCAUCAUGGCCCUUACGACCAGGGCUACACACGUGCUACAAUGGCGCAUACAAAGAGAAGCGACCUCGCGAGAGCAAGCGGACCUCAUAAAGUGCGUCGUAGUCCGGAUUGGAGUCUGCAACUCGACUCCAUGAAGUCGGAAUCGCUAGUAAUCGUGGAUCAGAAUGCCACGGUGAAUACGUUCCCGGGCCUUGUACACACCGCCCGUCACACCAUGGGAGUGGGUUGCAAAAGAAGUAGGUAGC